rnacentral:misc_RNA from 1 species
UCAGAGCCGGCAAAACAAAACACACAUUUUUUUCUGGGAGAAUUUUCUUGAAUGUUCCACAAGAAAUGACUGAUUAGCAGAGGAGCAAAAGCAAAACCACAAACAUGGAAGAUAGCAACGAAGAGAUUGAACCCUGUCGUAGCAUUGGGCCGCACGAGCUGGACGCCGUAAAAAGUCAGGCGGUUAUAAAAUUAUCGCCCGUCCAGCUGCCGGCCCAUUUCAAGCGCCUAGAAUGCAACACGAAUCUGAAUCUGCCGCCCCUCAACUGGCUGACGACCUCCCACAGCAGCCACGGGCUGCACCAGGCUCUGUAUCAGAGUGCUGGCUUCGCCAGCUUCCGUCUGGGCCAGAUGUUUCCCGACUGUGUUGGCGAGGUGGAUGUGGUGUCCGAUGCGGAGAACAUCAAGCAGUUACUGAAGCUCCCAUACAGUGCCCAGAGCCCCAUUAGCAUGGUGGUACACAAGGUGGGCAACACCCUGCUGCUGGACGAGUUCGAUAUACAGAAAUAUCUGCUACGCAAAUCGGAUGAUGACUGGAAAUGGCUGCGCACGUUCAUCCUCGAGCACAUCUUGUCGUUUGGCGACAAGCAGCACAACUACUGCCUGAAGGAGCGCAAUCGGGAGGCUCUGCAAACAAAGAAUCUGCUCUCCAAGUUCCUGUAUCACAGCCUAAAACAGACCGGCGAUGGCGGGGAGUAUGAUGUGCACACAACGCCCACACAGUUGACCAGCAGACGCCAGGGAUUGCCCAUCACGGGUCCCGUGCUGCCAGAGCCGAAGAUCGAGGAGAAUGUUCCCGAUCCCAAGUCCAGUCAUGCGUUCAACCGGAACGUGGUGUGGACCUUUGAGGAUAUCCGUAUGCUCAUUGGCACCGACAUGCCCAUCUUUGGAGGGCCCAAUCGACCGUGCAUUAGCCUCCGCCUGCGCGACGCCGCCCAGCCCAUAAAUGUGCUGACUGGCAUCGACUACUGGCUGGAUAACCUCAUGUGCAAUGUCCCCGAGGUUGUGAUGUGCUACCAUCUGGAUGGGAUUGUCCAGAAAUACGAAAUCAUCAAGACUGAGGAUCUGCCCUAUCUGGAGAACUCGCAAUUCUCGCCGCAGGUGGUGCGCAAUGUGGCCCAGAAUAUAUUGGCCUUCCUCAAGGCCAAUGCCACGAAGGCCGGCCACACCUACUGGCUGUUCAAGGGACGCAACGAUGAUGUGGUCAAGCUGUACGACCUGACCACUCUCUACCAGAACCAGACGACCCAGGCCGCCGAAGAGUCUGAGUCGCCGCCGCAGCAGCAGGUGAACCCGUUUACCGUGCCCGUGGGCAUGCUGCUCUAUUCUGUCGCUCGCAACAUGAAGAACACGCUGCAGCACAUCAGCCCCAGGACGGCGGGCAGCAUACGCGCCCUGCUGGACAACUGCAUCAAGCUGCUGCCCAAGGAGCAGUAUCCGCAAAUUGUCAGCUCCUCGCACUAUAUACUCUCCGACCUGCAUGUGCCGGCUGGCAUCGAUCCCAAGGCGCCCAAGUUCGAGGAUCUGGACUCGGACACACAGUCGCUGUACGAUGAUGAUGAGGAGGACGAGGAGGACUAUGACGAUGAGCCCCUGGACUGCGAUGGAAUCUAUGGCAGUGACAAGUACUAUCAAAGUGCCGAACAGAGCGGAGGCAAGGCCAACGUGGCUGUGAGACACAUUUGCGAUGCUCUCCGGGAAUUCAAAUCGCACGCCAAGAAGUCCAAGCCGGCUCCCCUGCUCGCCUCGACAGUGGAACGUUGCACCAUUUCGCUGGAGCACAUCAGUGCGGGCAUCUCCUGUCUGCAAUACUUUAAUGGCAAUCAGGAGGAGAAGCUCAAGGAAACGGAGACGAUUGCCAAGCAGGAGGAAAAGCAACGCAUUCUCCAUGAAGAGCAGAAUCCCAAUAUGGCCAGGCCGUUCAAUGCCAUACCACUGCCAUAUGAGCAGUUGCAGGUGACGCAGGCACAGUCCCAGUCCCAGUCCCAGUCCGAGACCCAGUCCCAGCCGCAGGCAGAGGCACAGGCGCAAGCCAUCAAGAAGCCCAACGCCAAGGCCAAAGGCAACAAGUCCAAGGAGCUGGCCACCACCAAUACCAGUACCACAGAUGGAAAAUCCUACACGCAGCUCAGUGCCAAGUUCAAUAGUCAGCAUUUUGGCUCGUGGAAUGUCCAUCUGAAGCUGCUGCUGCUGGAGAAGGCCUGCCUAACGGGCGCCACACUGGCGGAGCACCACUACGAGUCGCACCAGUACGGCUCCACGCUGCGAUCCAUUGAGCUGGCCUCUCGCUGCCAGCAGGUACUCAACAAGUACAUGGCCAAUGUGGUCUCACAACAGAGCUGCCUGCUGGGCCGAGCCGGCGACUGUUUCUUUCAAAUGUCCAAGAACUGGGAGGCCAUCGAUGAGUAUGUGCGCCAAUACGAGGAGCAGGACGAAUCGACCCGAGUGAUUGGCGAAGAACUGUCACUGGAACUGGGGGAGGAGGAGGAGGAGCAGCUGCCUUCGCUGGCUCCCGUCAAAAACGUCGAACAGGUGAUGAUGAACAGCUGCAAGUGCUACGAACUGGCCCUGGAGCAUGCCCAAAAGGCCGAGAGCAAUGAGCUGCUGCGACGAUUGGGAAAUGUUCGAAACGAGCUGGGUCUCAAGUACAUGUACUGGGCACAGGAGGAGUACCGCGAGGUUGUGGAGAAAAAGGAGGCCUCGGAAGCUGCCGGAGAUGAUAAACAGGAACAGGAUAAUGCCACUGCCGAACCGCUCUACGUUAAGCUGACUGUCAAUUCUUAUGACUGCCUGCGCCGUGGCAUCGAGGCCUUUACCGCAGUGCAGGACAAUGUUAAUCUGGCCUUUCUUUAUUGCAACAUGGGUAGAUUUAUGCGUCUGCGCGCCCAUCUGACCAUGCCCAAUGAGAGUGCCAUUACUUUAGACUCACAAAAAGCCUUUUAUAACGAGGCCUUCAACUAUUACGAGAAGGCCAAAGACUGCCUGGACACGCGUAAAGCGAAUGCCGAGCUCUGGGAUCUUGUCAAUUGGGAGCUAUCCACUGCCACCUUUACGCUAGCCAAACAGCUGCAGGACCACAGUGCAGCAGACAAGAACAGCCUGCUGGAGGCCUCCAAAGAGGUGCUCGAGCUGCUGCAAAAGGCCUUGCGCCUGUGCGAUGUGGAACAUGCUGGGGCACGCCAAGUGCUCUACAGCUUUCGUGCUGGCUUGAUACACAAAAGGAUUGCAUCUUUUCAUUAUUCGCAACUGCGUUCGAAUGGCUGCUGCGAUCUGUCGCAGCUGCCGAAAUCCACGUUGCAGCUGUGCAAAUAUCACUACGAGAAGUCCACUCAAAUCCUGGAGAGCCUCAAGGAGGUGGGCGACCUGCUGGUGGUGCAACUAGAGCGUAUAUCCCUGCAUGAAUUUCUGGCGGAACUUUCCACCCACUCUGCGCAGAAGAUCAAGCAAAUGCAAGCUGCUCUGGAGAUUUGCUUGCAGUGCCAGACCAUUUUUGGCCACGUCAUCGAUGCUAACAGCCAGGUCGAUGACGAAUUCGCCGCACAUCUGUCACUCUUUGAGAGCCGCUUGCAGAAUGCAUUGAAGACGCUCACGAAGCUGCUGCUGACCGGCAAGGAUCCCAAACAGCUGUCGGCAUUGUACAAGCGCAUGUAUAUGGAAACCUUGACUGGGAAACAUGGGACAGGGGCCCAGCAUACAGCAGCAGCAGCAUGCGCUGCUGAAGCGCCACCAAAACAUUUGCACACGCUGCUCGGCCGGCUACAAGCCAUGUGCGACGCUCACCUCGCCGUGGGCUAGCCAAAGCGGCUGUACGUGUCUUCGAGGGGGUUUCAUAAAGAACCGAUCAAAUCCCCCGCUUGCCGCAACCGCAAUCAUCGCUGGUCGCCUCAUCCACCCGGCCAACAGCGACGCCCAUCUGCAGAAACGACACCAGCAGCAGCACCACCACCACCUCCAUAGCCAGUUGUAGGAUCUGUCAAAGCAUCAACAUUAUUAUCUUCAAUAUCACUUCAGUCUUCAAACUAUAAAUGUAUGUGGCCGUAUCGCGGUAUAUAUCUCACCUUGCAGCGUCGUUGAGUUCUCAUUUUGAGUGCGUUUGCUGGCCUUGGGCACGGCGGCUCUUAUAAAGUCUGAGGGUCUUGGGCCCAAAACGUGUCGCUCAUCAAGAUUGGCUAAACACACCCCCACAAUCGAAGUCAGCUUCUGUUCAAAAUUCUGUUGAACAAGAGCCAACAAUCGCCACUACUGGAUGCGCAGAUAUGCGCAGAGGCCCUAGCUACGUUUCACUCUUAACUCUAAACACACUCUUAACCUAAUCUAUUUUAGAACACUCUUUAACUUUAAUGGAAAUCAAGAUCUGUCUCUGAUGUACUCUUAGAAAAUGGCUUUAAUAUUUAAGCUCUGCUUCCCAGUUUGAUUAUUACUUAUAAAGUUAUACAUCAUUCAUAAAUUGAAAGCCAAUAAAAAGCGUUUUAAAA